rnacentral:misc_RNA from 1 species
UUAUCAUUAGAGGAAGGAGAAGUCGUAACAAGCUUUCCGUAAGUGAACCUACGGAAGGAUCAUUGUCAAAAUCUGCCCCUCCUGUCGUACCGUGAGCCCUGCUCGGAUCGUCGGUGCAGACCCUGUCCCCACCGCGACCCCCCGCCAUCCUCACUGUCCUGAAUUAACAAUGUAUCCCCGACGCAAUCAGUGUUAAGGAAAUUUCACAAGACGCGCGUCUCCGUGGCCAGCCCGAUGUUGCGGUGCAUCCACGAACUGCAUCACGAUCCUGAUAUUUGAACGACUCUCGACAACGAAUAUCUCGACUCUCGCAUCAAUGAAGAACGUAGUGAAAUGAGAUACUUGGUGUGAAUUGUAGAAUCUCGUGAACCAUCAAGUUUUUGAACGCAAGUUGCGCCCUAGGCCGUUAGGUCGAGGGCACGUCUGCUUGGACGUCAAGCAUCGCGUCACCCCGACUCCGUCGUCUCACCGUGAGAUCCCCCGAAGUAGUGUGGGUGGAGAUUGGCCCAUCGUGCGUCGAGCGCGGUCGGUGUCACGAUCAGUGGUGGUUGACGUGCCUCUUUCCGAAGAUGGAUGUCGUGCCCGCCGCAUCAUCGAACAGGCCAUCUGGACCUUGUUGGUCCUCACGGAGCACUCAUCCUGCGACCCCAGGUCAGGUGAGGCCACCCACUGAGUUUAAGCAUAUC